AUGCAUCUAUUUCAGACCUGUAACAGUUACUGUCUGCUGCUAAGGUUUACACUACAGAUGCAAGGAAAAAGUGUCCUCUUGCUUUCUUGUCUGAUUGUGGCAGCAAUGAUCAAAUGGGGGAAUAUAGAU